UACGUAGGUGGCAAGCGUUAUCCGGAUUUAUUGGGCGUAAAGCGAGCGCAGGUGGUUUAUUAAGUCUGGUGUAAAAGGCAGUGGCUCAACCAUUGUAUGCAUUGGAAACUGGUAGACUUGAGUGCAGGAGAGGAGAGUGGAAUUCCAUGUGUAGCGGUGAAAUGCGUAGAUAUAUGGAGGAACACCGGUGGCGAAAGCGGCUCUCUGGCCUGUAACUGACACUGAGGCUCGAAAGCGUGGGGAGCAAACAGG
rnacentral:rRNA from 1 species